rnacentral:rRNA from 1 species
UACGGGGGGGGCAAGCGUUGUUCGGAAUUACUGGGCGUAAAGGGCUCGUAGGCGGCCAACUAAGUCAUACGUGAAAUCCCUCGGCUUAACCGGGGAACUGCGUCUGAUACUGGAUGGCUUGAGUUCGGGAGAGGGAUGCGGAAUUCCAGGUGUAGCGGUGAAAUGCGUAGAUAUCUGGAGGAACACCGGUGGCGAAGGCGGCGUCCUGGACCAACACUGACACUGAGGAGCGAAAGCCAGGGGAGCAAACGGG